CUCAAAUAUACGCUUUUAUUGUAAACAAUUGUCGUAAACAUAUCCGCAGAACAGUGAUACUUAAUUAUUGUACAACUAUUUAUUGGAUUUGCCAGACACCUUUUAUUUUUGACCUAAAAGCCAACAACGUUGUAUAAAAACAAUACUAUUUUAUAUUGUCAUUUCGUCUUAACCCAGCCAAUGACGUCAGUAAUUUAUUCGAGCAUAAAUUAGCAUACGCGUUUAUUUUCAAGAUGGCGGACGAAGCUCGAACAGGCUUCAACUUUAUCUCAACAUUUCUCAACAACUAAACGCGAUGGACUAGUGAAAAUACAAAAUUAAGUAUUCCGUAGGUAGGUUUAAUAGAUAUAAGCAAUAAAAAUUUUCGUUGCCAAUGUCCUUUAA